rnacentral:rRNA from 1 species
UACGGGGGGGGGCAAGCGUUGUUCGGAAUUACUGGGCGUAAAGGGCUCGUAGGUGGCCAACUAAGUCAGACGUGAAAUCCCUCGGCUUAACCGGGGAACUGCAUCUGAUACUGGAUGGCUUGAGUUUGGGAGAGGGACGCGGAAUUCCAGGUGUAGCGGUGAAAUGCGUAGAUAUCUGGAGGAACACCGGUGGCGAAGGCGGCGUCCUGGACCAACACUGACACUGAGGAGCGAAAGCCAGGGGAGCAAACGGGG